AUGUUUAGACAGCUGGAGUUGCAAAGGAAGCUUUGGAAGGGCAUUGCAUAUAUGACGGGGGUUUUGCAAACUCCAUAUCUCGUAUUCGCGCCAUACAGAUCUUAGCAUAAAGGUUAACAAUGAUCGGAGCAGAGACUACACAAUCCCCAACACCCUGAUGAUGAAUCCUCAACCUUCAAUUCUAGGGCAGCAACCGGCUUUAGCUAUAAGCAACUUUGCUAGCAUGUGGUUCAUUCUCCUUUUCGUCUCAAUUUUCGCAACUGGUAUUCUUGAGCUCCGUUGGAGUGGUUUCAGCAUUGAGGAUUCGUGGAGGAAUGAGCAAUUCUGGGUCAUCGGUGGUACAUCUGCUCACCUUUUUGCUGUGUUCCAAGGGCUUCUUAAAGUGCUUGCUGGCAUUGAUACCAACUUCAGUCACUUCGAAAGUAGCCGAUGAGGAAGGAGACUUUGCUGAGCUUUGUGUUCAAAUGACAUCGCUUCUCAUUCCUCCGACCACAGUUUUUAUCGUGAACAUCAUUGGCAUUGUAGCAGGUGUCAUAUGCGAUUAACAGUGGGUAUCAGUCAUGGGGUCCACUGGUUGGCCCGAACCAUUGAUUCGUCUGUUGUUAUUUAUUGUGCAGUAUUUUAUUGUUUGAUCACAAGAAUGUAACACUUUCGAACUUAAUUCAGCACUUAAAAGGUCGAAUACAGAACAAGUUCAUUGGUCAAGCUUAA